UUUCCUUAUCCUAUUAGCUAUUCCAUUUGCUUAGUCAUUUAGUGUCUCCAUUUAGCAUCUCCUUUUAAGUUUCUUUGACACUUUGGGCCUUGUGAGGUAAAACAAUGCAAAUUACCUGCAAUAUAACAAGCUGUGUCUCGUACUGUAGUUAGAGGCUGUGGAGCCUCUGCUCAUUGUGCGGUAGUCGGUGGUAGUGAGUCUGUAAUCUAGCGAGUCGGCCUGUUUUCUGAAGUUUUACAUUUGAUUUCACCAUUUUACAUCAUGGCCAAUUAUUGUGUUUGCAAAUUGUACAAACUCAGCCUGUCAAGACAUCGAGUCCACUGUUUUCUAACAGAAAAAGGUUGCUAACUAGCUAGCUUUGGUGCGUGUGGUUGCAGGUCAAGAGAUAGGACUUUACUGCUGCAUCUGUAAUGGAAAACCGCUGUCGUGUUCGACGCUCAUUUUAGACAGGAGGAUCAUGUUCCCGGUGACAUGAUGGAGUUCAGGAUGGAAUAACAAAGCCAGGACCGUGUGAGACUGACAGCUGCUGCGGUUACUUCAGUACACACAGCUGCUUCAUCAGGUCCACAGUCAGCAGGCCUCUGGUAACGUUACUACCACCGGCGGAAAAUGUUUUGGGAGAUACUACAAGUAAUGAAGGGACAGAUCAGAUGCACCCACACCCAGCGCUGCAGUGCUUAUAGACCUAUAGCAAGAGGCCUUCUCUCCACUGGCUCCUCAGCCUCCAUCUGUGCUUCACUGUGGCUCACAGUGUGACCUCAAACCUUUCCGUGUUCAUCAGGUCUACAGAAAACUUGAACCUGAAGCUGUGGAGGUGAGCCAUUAUCAACCACCUGUACUGGACUGCAGCUUCCACUAAUCUCCACUAAUGGAGAUCCAGAUGUGAUGGUGUUCAGAACAUCCAUGAAGAUGGCACGUUGGAACCAGCAUAUGCAUCGGCCCUCAUGGAGUCUCUGAGAGAGGGCUACGCCAGGUCACCAAAGGCUCUACGAGAGAGAAGUGCUGUCUUGUCCUACACUGCUCCUGCCCCCCUUUCCAGAUCCUGCCAGAAGAUCACCACGGAUGAAGCAGUUGGCCUGUAUCUUGCACGGUUUUCACUGUUUAACAGAGGACAUUAAUGUGAAACCAGCACAGAUGUUUUGGUUCCCAGUUUUCAGGUUGAGAUUAUUAUGAGUCAAGACAAAGGCAGAUCAGUCCCACAAUUCAUAUUCAUAUUAUCCUCGGCCAAAGACAUACUCAGUCACAUUUGUUUAUUUGUGAGAUAUAUCAAAACCUGGUACGAAAGAUUUUGAUGAAAACUGGUCAACAAUUUAGGCCACAGGCCAAGGAUAGAGUGACUAGUUUUUGUUGCUUUGUUUUUUGUUUCAAAAGUUUUCUCAACAUUGCAAGAGAGCAUUUUGAACAUUUCCCCUGUUUACUUUGCUUAUUGCACUGUAGAGCCAGAUGCUAAUUAAAACAUUUUCUAUUAAUAAAAUAUUGAGGAUUGUACAGCUUUAGUUGGAAGUAUGCUUUCUGAGUGCUUUCUAUUUUUAAAUGGGUCAGUUGGUAUUUUUUUCUUUUGACCAUAUACAGUGGUGUGAAAAAGUGUUUUCCCCCUUCCUGAUUUCUUAUUUUUUUUGCAUGUUUG